UAACUGGUUUGAGAGGAUGAUCAGUCACACUGGAACUGAGACACGGUCCAGACUCCUACGGGAGGCAGCAGUGGGGAAUAUUGCACAAUGGACGAAAGUCUGAUGCAGCAACGCCGCGUGGAGGAUGACACAUUUCGGUGCGUAAACUCCUUUUAUAUAGGAAGAUAAUGACGGUACUAUAUGAAUAAGCACCGGCUAACUCCGUGCCAGCAGCCGCGGUAAUACGGAGGGUGCAAGCGUUACUCGGAAUUACUGGGCGUAAAGAGCGUGUAGGCGGGUAAAUAAGUUGGAAGUGAAAUCCUAUGGCUCAACCAUAGAACUGCUUCCAAAACUGUUAACCUAGAAUGUGGGAGAGGUAGAUGGAAUUUCUGGUGUAGGGGUAAAAUCCGUAGAUAUCAGAAGGAAUACCGAUUGCGAAGGCGAUCUACUGGAACAUAAUUGACGCUGAGACGCGAAAGCGUGGGGAGCAAACAGGAUUAGAUACCCUGGUAGUCCACGCCCUAAACGAUGUACACUAGUUGUUGUGAGGCUAGACCUUGCAGUAAUGCAGUUAACACAUUAAGUGUACCGCCUGGGGAGUACGGUCGCAAGAUUAAAACUCAAAGGAAUAGACGGGGACCCGCACAAGCGGUGGAGCAUGUGGUUUAAUUCGACAUACGCGAAGAACCUUACCUGGUCUUGACAUAGAAAGAACUUUCCAGAGAUGGAUUGGUGCCUGCUUGCAGGAGCUUUCAUACAGGUGCUGCACGGCUGUCGUCAGCUCGUGUCGUGAGAUGUUGGGUUAAGUCCCGCAACGAGCGCAACCCUCGUCGUUAGUUGCUAACAGUUCGGCUGAGAACUCUAACGAGACUGCCUACGCAAGUAGGAGGAAGGUGAGGACGACGUCAAGUCAUCAUGGCCCUUACGACCAGGGCUACACACGUGCUACAAUGGGGUAUACAAAGAGCAGCGAUACGGUGACGUGGAGCGAAUCUCAAAAAUGCCUCCCAGUUCGGAUAGUAGUCUGCAACUCGACUACUUGAAGUUGGAAUCGCUAGUAAUCGUAGAUCAGCUAUGCUACGGUGAAUACGUUCCCGGGUCUUGUACUCACCGCCCGUCGCACCAUGGGAGUUGAAUUCAUUCGAAGCGGGGAUGCUAAAAUAGCUACCUUCCACAGUGGAUUUAGCGACUGGGGUGAAGUCGUAACAAGGUAACCGUAGGAGAACCUGCGGUUG
rnacentral:rRNA from 1 species